rnacentral:sRNA from 1 species
GAGACCAUAUUUGUUCGCAGAGGAAGCCGUUGCUUUCUGGGAUCUGGCUACGGCAGAAAAGACAUCGGCUCCAACAAGGGUGUUCCACAGGGUAGCUGGGAGUUGGAAGAGCCAAGAACGCCUCCGAGCUCUGGAUUUGAGCCUCUCUGCCCAUGGGUGCAGCAUCCAUGCUCAGCUUGUGAGCUUCUUCCCGGGAGAGCAGCCAUGGCACUGAGGAAUGUGCCCUUUCGCUCAGAGGUCCUGGGCUGGGACCCCGACAGCCUUGCUGACUAUUUCAAGAAGCUCAACUAUAAGGACUGUGAGAAGGCAGUGAAGAAGUACCACAUCGAUGGGGCUCGCUUCUUGAACCUGACAGAAAAUGACAUCCAGAAGUUCCCCAAGCUCCGGGUGCCGAUUCUCAGUAAGUUAAGUCAGGAAAUCAACAAGAACGAAGAGAGGAGGAGCAUCUUCACACGCAAGUGAGUGGGGCUGGUGUAAGGAAACGCAAGAUUUUUCAGUUCCGAGUUGAACCUUAAAAGGGAGGCACAGAACUGUUUUUGCCCUACUUUUUGAUCUGCAUUUGUCCCCUGAAUCCCAGGGGUCUGGAAGAUGGUGUCCAACGAGGGGAAGGGGUUCCCUCCCCUGCCCU